rnacentral:rRNA from 1 species
GACAGAGGGUGCAAACGUUGCUCGGAAUCACUGGGCGUAAAGGGCGUGUAGGCGGAUCGGCAAGUCGGGCGUGAAAUCCCGGGGCUCAACCCCGGAACUGCCUUUGAUACUGGGUAUCUCGAGUCCGGAAGAGGUGAGUGGAAUUCCGAGUGUAGAGGUGAAAUUCGUAGAUAUUCGGAGGAACACCAGUGGCGAAGGCGGCUUACUGGUCCGGAACUGACGCUGAGGUGCGAAAGCGUGGGGAGCAAACAGG